rnacentral:pre_miRNA from 1 species
UAAAUGCUCCUCCCGUCUCAUAUUAAGUGACGAAGUAUUAGAUGUAUCUAGACGCUUUUUGGGUAUAGAUACAUCCAUAUUUGGGCAAAUUUGAGACACUUAAUAUGAAACGGAGGGAGUAUAUG